GACAGAGGAUGCAAGCGUUAUCCGGAAUGAUUGGGCGUAAAGCGUCUGUAGGUGGCUUUUUAAGUCCGCCGUCAAAUCCCAGGGCUCAACCCUGGACAGGCGGUGGAAACUACCAAGCUGGAGUACGGUAGGGGCAGAGGGAAUUUCCGGUGGAGCGGUGAAAUGCGCAGAUAUCAGGAGGAACACCGGUGGCGAAGGCGGGACUCUGGGCCGAUACUGACGCUGAGGAGCGAAAGCGUGGGGAGCGAACAGG
rnacentral:rRNA from 1 species